AACGAACGCUGGCGGCAGGCUUAACACAUGCAAGUCGAACGCCCCGCCAGGGGAGUGGCAGACGGGUGAGUAACGCGUGGGAACAUACCCUUUUCUACGGAAUAGCUCUGGGAAACUGGAAUUAAUACCGUAUACGCCCUACGGGGGAAAGAUUUAUCGGGGAAGGAUUGGCCCGCGUUGGAUUAGCUAGUUGGUGGGGUAAAGGCCUACCAAGGCGACGAUCCAUAGCUGGUCUGAGAGGAUGAUCGGCCACAUUGGGACUGAGACACGGCCCAAACUCCUACGGGAGGCAGCAGUGGGGAAUAUUGGACAAUGGGCGCAAGCCUGAUCCAGCCAUGCCGCGUGAGUGAUGAAGGCCUUAGGGUUAUAAAGCUCUUUCACCGAUGAAGAUAAUGACGGUAGUCGGAGAAGAAGCCCCGGCUAACUUCGUG
rnacentral:rRNA from 1 species